UGGGUGGUCUGGGAGGACAUGCUCAGUCUCACUGGCCAUCUCUCUAGAGCUCGACACAGACUAUUGCUGACUCAGUGUGACGGUGGUGUGUUUGUGUAGUGUGGGUGUCGGGGGGGGGGGGGGGGGGGNNNNNNNNNNNNNNNNUAAGGGCUGACACAUCCCUGGUCGUGGCUUUUGUGAGUCACUUGACCUGCUGCAACUUUGAUCCCUCCGAAUGUUAACUUGUGUCCUUAUUUUCUUAUCGUGAUAGUAAACGUGCAUCUCACAUUUUCAUUACUUUAGAAUUACGCCUCCGGUUCUUUCUUUUAAAGUGUGUCACUUUGUGAUCUGAGAUACAGCUUGCCUGUUUUAUUUUGCUGGGCAGUUUCAGAGUUUGUACUCAUAUCCCUCUGCAUGUGUGUGUUACCUAGACUCUGAAAUACAUUGGGAAUAAAGUGCGGCGACGGCGCGUGUGAGGAGGGCCCAAGAAUACCAAGAUGGAGGACGCUAGGAGCUUCCCUCAUCCUCCCUCAUGUACCUAGCUGAAGAAGAUAUCAGACCAGAUCAUCCCCAAGCAGCCCAGUUCGACAUAGUCAAAUGCAUGCGGAGGGACCAGAUCACCAACGGCAUGGUCAACGCCAUCUCCGCCGUGAGUGCUGCCCCUGUAUCAAGAUCUGGUCCCUUAUACCAGACAGAGGAUGUGGUAUCCAAAUGGUUUGACAUAUGGCAAAAGGGGAUUUGACCUGUCCCUCUCUCUGUGCCCCCAUGGGAACUGGUCCCUGAAGAGGUUUAAGAUGGACCAUCAGGGUGUGACACAGGUGUUGUCCAGUCUCUCCUUCAUCUAUGCUCUGGGCAUGAUGAUCAGGACCUCCUCCCAGUUUAGAGAAGAUCAGGAAGGUCAGGG
rnacentral:lncRNA from 13 species